UACGUAGGUCCCGAGCGUUGUCCGGAUUUAUUGGGCGUAAAGCGAGCGCAGGUGGUUUAUUAAGUCUGGUGUAAAAGGCAGUGGCUCAACCAUUGUAUGCAUUGGAAACUGGUAGACUUGAGUACAGGAGAGGAGAGUGGAAUUCCAUGUGUAGCGGCGAAAUGCGUAGAUAUAUGGAGGAACACCGGUGGCGAAAGCGGCUCUCUGGCCUGUAACUGACACUGAGGCUCGAAAGCGUGGGGAGCAAACAGG
rnacentral:rRNA from 1 species